rnacentral:rRNA from 1 species
UGGGGAAUAUUGGGCAAUGGGCGAAAGCCUGACCCAGCAACGCCGCGUGGAGGAAGAAGGUUUUCGGAUCGUAAACUCCUGUCCUCAGGGAAGAGAAGGAGACGGUACCUGAGGAGGAAGCCCCGGCUAACUACGUGCCAGCAGCCGCGGUAAUACGUAGGGGGCAAGCGUUGUCCGGAAUGAUUGGGCGUAAAGGGCGCGUAGGCGGCCCGGUAAGUCUGGAGUGAAAGUCCCGGCUUCAAGUUGGGAAUUGCUUUGGAUACUGUCGGGCUUGAGUGCAGGAGAGGUUAGUGGAAUUCCCAGUGUAGCGGUGAAAUGCGUAGAGAUUGGGAGGAACACCAGUGGC